rnacentral:rRNA from 1 species
CAAUAGCGUAUAUUUAAGUUGUUGCAGUUAAAAAGCUCGUAGUUGGAUUUCGGAUGGGAUCUGCCGGUCCGCCUUUGAGGUGUGUACUGGUAGGUCCUAUCUUGUUGUCGGGGACCAGCUCCUGGGCUUCACUGUCCGGGACUGGGAGCCGGCGAUGUUACUUUGAGUAAAUUAGAGUGUUCAAAGCAAGCUUACGCUCUGAAUAUAAUAGCAUGGGAUAACACGACAGGACUCUGGCCUAUCGUGUUGGUCUAUAGGACCAGAGUAAUGAUUAAGAGGGACAGUCGGGGGCAUUCGUAUUCCGUUGUCAGAGGUGAAAUUCUUGGAUUUACGGAAGACGAACAUCUGCGAAAGCAUUUGCCAAGGAUGUUUUCAUUGA